rnacentral:rRNA from 1 species
UGCCAGUUAUAAGCGAACUGCGAAUGGCUCAUUAUAUAAGUUAUCGUUUAUUUGAUAGUACCUUACUACUUGGAUAACCGUGGUAAUUCUAGAGCUAAUACAUGCUAAAAAUCCCGACUUCGGAAGGGAUGUAUUUAUUAGAUUAAAAACCAAUGCCCUCUGGGCUCCUUGGUGAUUCAUGAUAACUCUUCGAAUCGCACGGCCUUGCGCCGGCGAUGGUUCAUUCAAAUUUCUUCCCUAUCAACUUUCGAUGUUUGGGUAUUGGCCAAACAUGGUUGCAACGGGUAACGGAGGGUUAGGGCUCGACCCCGGAGAAGGAGCCUGAGAAACGGCUACUACAUCCAAGGAAGGCAGCAGGCGCGCAAAUUACCCAAUCCCGAUUCGGGGAGGUAGUGACAAUAAAUACUGAUACAGGGCUCUUUUGGGUCUUGUAAUUGGAAUGAGUACAAUUUAAAUCUCUUAACGAGGAACAAUUGGAGGGCAAGUCUGGUGCCAGCAGCCGCGGUAAUUCCAGCUCCAAUAGCGUAUAUUAAAGUUGUUGUGGUUAAAAAGCUCGUAGUUGAACCUUGGGCCUGGCUGGCCGGUCCGCCUCACCGCGUGCACUGGUCCGGCCGGGCCUUUCCCUCUGUGGAACCCCAUGCCCUUCACUGGGCGUGGCGGGGAAACAGGACGUUUACUUUGAAAAAAUUAGAGUGCUCCAGGCAGGCCUAUGCUCGAAUACAUUAGCAUGGAAUAAUGAAAUAGGACGCGUGGUUCUAUUUUGUUGGUUUCUAGGACCGCCGUAAUGAUUAAUAGGGACAGUCGGGGGCAUCAGUAUUCAAUUGUCAGAGGUGAAAUUCUUGGAUUUAUUGAAGACUAACUACUGCGAAAGCAUUUGCCAAGGAUGUUUUCAUUAAUCAGGAACGAAAGUUAGGGGAUCGAAGACGAUCAGAUACCGUCGU